rnacentral:rRNA from 1 species
GAGUUUGAUCAUGGCUCAGAUUGAACGCUGGCGGCAUGCCUUACACAUGCAAGUCGAGCGGCAGCGCGGGGGCAACCCUGGCGGCGAGCGGCGAACGGGUGAGUAAUGCAUCGGAACGUGUCCUCUUGUGGGGGAUAACCAGUCGAAAGACUGGCUAAUACCGCAUGAGAUCGAGAGAUGAAAGCAGGGGACCGCAAGGCCUUGCGCGAGAGGAGCGGCCGAUGCCGGAUUAGCUAGUUGGUGGGGUAAAGGCCUACCAAGGCGACGAUCCGUAGCUGGUCUGAGAGGACGACCAGCCACACUGGGACUGAGACACGGCCCAGACUCCUACGGGAGGCAGCAGUGGGGAAUUUUGGACAAUGGGGGCAACCCUGAUCCAGCCAUGCCGCGUGUGUGAAGAAGGCCUU